CUGGUACUCCCUCCGUCCCAUAUUAAGUGACUUUUUAUUAAUGUAUCUAGACGCUUUUUAGGUAUAGAUAUAUCCAUAUUUGAAAAAAUUUGAGUCAUUUAAUAUGGGACGGAGGGAGUAUUAC
rfam:Brachypodium distachyon strain Bd21 chromosome 2, whole genome shotgun sequence.